GGGCACAUGGUGUAGGGGUUAUCACUCAUGCUUUGCAGCGGCCGGUUCGACGCCGGCUUCAAUUGUAUGCGGUCCUGGGUUCAAAUCCCAGUGUGUCCA